rnacentral:rRNA from 1 species
UACUUUAAGACUAAGUAAAAAUUUUUAGGUUGUAGUUAAGUGAGUGAUUUAAAAAUUAUAUGGGCAAUAAAGGGUAAAAUCGGAAUAUUGUUUUGUAUAAAAAAAAAUCUUAAUUGAAGCUAGAAAAUUUUAGUGAUAAACUAGGAUUAGAUACCCUAUUAUUCUAAAAUGAAUUAUUAAAACUUAAUUAGUAAGAGAUAAAUACUUAAAAUUUAAAAAAUUUGGCGGCAAUUUAAUCUUUUCAGAGGAACCUGUUUUAUAAUCGAUAAACCACGAAGAAUCUUACUUGCCUUUGUAAAACAGUUUGUAUACCAUCAUUAUCAGAUAAUUCUUAGAGGAGAAAUUAUUAAACUUGAUUUAUCAGGAAAAUUAGAUCAUGGUGCAGUUAAUAGGCAAGUUAAAAUGGGUUACAAUAAAUUAUUUUAUGACGGAUUAAGCAGAAUAAUUCUGCUAUGAAGGAGGAUUUGAUUGUACUUUUAGUUUAAUAAGCUAAAAGGAUAUAAGUUCUAAAUUGUGUACAUAUCGCCCGUCGCUUUCAUUUAUAAGUGAAAUAAGUCGUAACAUA